rnacentral:ncRNA from 20 species
AAGUAGAUGCACCCUGAUAUACGACCUCCACCGUCAUAGGUGGGGGUUUUUUUU